rnacentral:misc_RNA from 1 species
AAGUCGUAACAAGGUUUCCGUAGGUGAACCUGCGGAAGGAUCAUUAACACGUACUCAGGGACGUCUGCAAGGAGCGUGCAUGUUGUGCGUGUAAGUGGCCUGGCAUCCCCAAGCAGUUAGUGUCUGAAAGUGUCACUAACGUUAGUGUCUGAAAGUGUCACUAACAUGUGUAAGGAUGACGCAGUCACGAUCGUUGGAGGCCCACACGGCCGACGACCGGGUCACCGGGCGCAAGCCCCCUUAUCACACCCCUGCUCUAUCUAUGGUGAUCCUGCGGGAAGUCCUGCGGUCGAACGCCGAAACCGAAUUCUC